rnacentral:rRNA from 1 species
CCUACGGGAGGCUGCAGUGGGGAAUAUUGCACAAUGGGGGCAACCCUGAUGCAGCAACGCCGCGUGAGCGAAGAAGGCCUUCGGGUCGUAAAGCUCUGUCCUAAGGGAAGAAAAUUGACGGUACCUUAGGAGGAAGCCCCGGGUAACUACGUGCCAGCAGCCGCGGUAAUACGUAGGGGGCGUGCGUUGUCCGGAAUCACUGGACGUAAAGGGCGCGUAGGCGGCCGAUUAAGCCAGGGGUGACAGGCUUCUGUUAAACCGUAGUAAGCCCUUGGAACUGAUUCGCUUGAGUGCAGGUGAGGAGAGUAGUAUUUCGAGUGUAGCGGUGAAAUGCGUAGAUAUUAGGAGGAACACCAGUUGAGAAGGCUAGUCUCUGGACUGUAACUGACGGUGAGGCACGAAAGCGUGGGGAGCAAACAGGAUUAGAUACCCUUGUAGUC